AUGCGGAGGGUGCGAGCGUUAAUCGGAAUUACUGGGCGUAAAGCGUACAUAGGCGGUUGGUUAAGUUAGAUGUGAAAGCCCCGGGCUUAACCUGGGAACUGCAUUUAAAACUGGCGAACUAGAGUUGAGUAGAGGGGAGUGGAAUUUCAGGUGUAGCGGUGAAAUGCGUAGAGAUCUGAAGGAACACCAGUGGCGAAGGCGACUCCCUGGACUCGAACUGACGCUGAGGUACGAAAGCGUGGGUAGCAAACGGGAUUAGAUACCCUAGUAGUCC
rnacentral:rRNA from 1 species